GAAUGCUGACAUAAGUAACGAUAAAGCGGGUGAAAAGCCCGCUCGCCGGAAGACCAAGGGUUCCUGUCCAACGUUAAUCGGGGCAGGGUGAGUCGACCCCUAAGGCGAGGCCGAAAGGCGUAGUCGAUGGGAAACGGGUUAAUAUUCCCGUACUUGGUGUUACUGCGAAGGGGGGACGGAGAAGGCUAUGUUGGCCGGGCGACGGUUGUCCCGGUUUAAGCGUGUAGGUGUGUGUUCCAGGUAAAUCCGGUUCACUUUAACACUGAGGCGUGACGACGAGGCACUACGGUGCUGAAGCAACAAAUGCCCUGCUUCCAGGAAAAGCCUCUAAGCAUCAGGUAACAUCAAAUCGUACCCCAAACCGACACAGGUGGUCAGGUAGAGAAUACCAAGGCGCUUGAGAGAACUCGGGUGAAGGAACUAGGCAAAAUGGUGCCGUAACUUCGGGAGAAGGCACGCUGACACGUAGGUGAAGUGAUUUACUCAUGGAGCUGAAGUCAGUCGAAGAUACCAGCUGGCUGCAACUGUUUAUUAAAAACACAGCACUGUGCAAACACGAAAGUGGACGUAUACGGUGUGACGCCUGCCCGGUGCCGGAAGGUUAAUUGAUGGGGUCAGCGCAAGCGAAGCUCCUGAUCGAAGCCCCGGUAAACGGCGGCCGUAACUAUAACGGUCCUAAGGUAGCGAAAUUCCUUGUCGGGUAAGUUCCGACCUGCACGAAUGGCGUAAUGAUGGCCAGGCUGUCUCCACCCGAGACUCAGUGAAAUUGAACUCGCUGUGAAGAUGCAGUGUACCCGCGGCAAGACGGAAAGACCCCGUGAACCUUUACUAUAGCUUGACACUGAACAUUGAGCCUUGAUGUGUAGGAUAGGUGGGAGGCUUUGAAGUGUGGACGCCAGUCUGCAUGGAGCCGACCUUGAAAUACCACCCUUUAAUGUUUGAUGUUCUAACGUGGACCCGUUACCCGGGUUGCGGACAGUGUCUGGUGGGUAGUUUGACUGGGGCGGUCUCCUCCUAAAGAGUAACGGAGGAGCACGAAGGUUGGCUAAUCCUGGUCGGACAUCAGGAGGUUAGUGCAAUGGCAUAAGCCAGCUUGACUGCGAGCGUGACGGCGCGAGCAGGUGCGAAAGCAGGUCAUAGUGAUCCGGUGGUUCUGAAUGGAAGGGCCAUCGCUCAACGGAUAAAAGGUACUCCGGGGAUAACAGGCUGAUACCGCCCAAGAGUUCAUAUCGACGGCGGUGUUUGGCACCUCGAUGUCGGCUCAUCACAUCCUGGGGCUGAAGUAGGUCCCAAGGGUAUGGCUGUUCGCCAUUUAAAGUGGUACGCGAGCUGGGUUUAGAACGUCGUGAGACAGUUCGGUCCCUAUCUGCCGUGGGCGCUGGAGAACUGAGGGGGGCUGCUCCUAGUACGAGAGGACCGGAGUGGACGCAUCACUGGUGUUCGGGUUGUCAUGCCAAUGGCACUGCCCGGUAGCUAAAUGCGGAAGAGAUAAGUGCUGAAAGCAUCUAAGCACGAAACUUGCCCCGAGAUGAGUUCUCCCUGAGACUUAGAGUCUCCUGA
rnacentral:rRNA from 1 species